UCGGAAGGUGCGGCUGGAUCACCUCCUUUAAGAGCGUGCAUCCGACGUUAGGCGUCCACACUUAUCGGUUUGUUUGAUGUUACAGCCAAGGGUCUGUAGCUCAGGUGGUUAGAGCACCGUCUUGAUAAGGCGGGGGUCGUAGGUUCAAGUCCUACCAGACCCACCAAGUUACGGACGGUGGAAGAAGUACUCUGCCGUGACUGGGGGAUUAGCUCAGCUGGGAGAGCGCCUGCUUUGCAAGCAGGGGGUCGUCGGUUCGAUCCCGUCAUCCUCCACCAAAACCUUUUGGUUACCAAACGCAAGCAUCGACGAAGUGAUGUCGAUGGUGUUUGCGUUUGGCCUAGCCAAGACGAGCGUAAAAGUUCGGCUGUUCUUUAACAAUAUGGAAUGUAGUAAAGGUGUCGCGGAGCAUUGAUGAGAUGCUCGGUAGUAACGCGACACUGGGUUGUGAUUGUAUCAACCAGUAUUACCAGAGCAAUCGAAAGAUUGUCUUGGAAUACGGCACAACGCGAGAACUCAGCCUGUAACGAGACAUACUCGUUAUAGGGUCAAGCGAAUAAGUGCAUGUGGUGGAUGCCUUGGCGAUUACAGGCGAUGAAGGACGUAGUAGCCUGCGAAAAGCUGCGGGGAGCUGGCAAACAAGCUUUGAUCCGCAG
rnacentral:misc_RNA from 1 species